rnacentral:rRNA from 1 species
GGUUAAGCGACUAAGCGUACACGGUGGAUGCCCUGGCAGUCAGAGGCGAUGAAGGACGUGCUAAUCUGCGAUAAGCGUCGGUAAGGUGAUAUGAACCGUUAUAACCGGCGAUUUCCGAAUGGGGAAACCCAGUGUGUUUCGACACACUAUCAUUAACUGAAUCCAUAGGUUAAUGAGGCGAACCGGGGGAACUGAAACAUCUAAGUACCCCGAGGAAAAGAAAUCAACCGAGAU